UACGAAGGGGGCUAGCGUUGCUCGGAAUGACUGGGCGUUAAAAGGGCGCGUAGGCGGUUCAUACAGUCAGAUGUGAAAUUCCCGGGCUUAACCUGGGGGCUGCAUUUGAUACGUGUGGGCUUGAGUGAGGAAGAGGGUUGUGGAAUUCCCAGUGUAGAGGUGAAAUGCGUAGAUAUCGGGAGGAACACCAGUGGCGAAGGCGGCUAUCUGGGCUGAAACUGACGCUGAGGCGCGAAGGCUAGGGGA
rnacentral:rRNA from 1 species